ACAUCAAGAUAGACUCCAUGACUAUUCAACUUGGAAAUUGUAGGUAGAAUACCUUUGCAAAUUCGCCACAAGAAUAUUUUAACUUUAUUUGGUAUUUGAGUUUUCACAAGUGGGGCCAAAUAUCAUCCAUAGAGCCAUUACUCCGUGAAGCUACAUCUUGCCAAUUUUUAGAGUCUAUUUUGUAACGACCCCACCUCCUCCUAGGGCCUACCCUAGAAGUUAGCUGAUCGCCUGCUUGGCUCUCGCCAGGAUUCAUUAAUUUCACAUUAACUUCAGAGAUAACAUUUUGAUAAACCAAAACCAAAUGCUCAAAUCUUUUACAAUACCAAAUUCAAUACAAAAGCUUCAACCAUAAUAUGAUACUAAAGGAUUUACAAUCACAAAAGUCUUCACGUUAACUCCCUAAGAUCCCUCGUUCGUUCCCCUACCACCAACUCCUGUAAGGAAAACAAAGUUGAGGGGAUGAGCUUACGCCCAGUGAAGUUUCCAUGCAAGCAACGAUCAAUAAACACUUACUAGAUAAGCCAAUAACAAAAUUAAGCAACUAAGGAACACUUCACUGCAUAAAUUAGAGAACACUUCAUUGAACAAUCAUUUUGAAAAGGAUACGGUGCUCGCAUUAGAGCCACUUCCUUCUAGGAGUCAUUUCAAUAUCAUUGCACACUCGUUUCAAUGUCAUUGUACAUUCAUUUCAGUGUCAUGAGACACUCAUUUCAAUAUCAUUGCACACUCCGCCAAUUCACCUCCUUAUGUCCUCCAAAACAAUAAACAAUCCCCUACAUUCAAUGAUCAGUUCAAUAAUUUUCCAACUUCAAGGUAAUACUCGAGUAUACCGAAACAUUUACCCAAAGUUUCUGUCCUAUCCGACCAAGCCCUUUGCUGGCUCGAACAGUCCGUUGAACAGAGGGUUUUGGGGCCUAGUUCAGCCGAUGCGGUGAAGUACACAUACGGCUUACAUUCAUGCACACUUACAGUAACAUUUGGUCAAUUAUCAACCUUCAAACUCAACUAAACCGAGUGCAAUAAAGUAUACCACUGACUUAGAAGGCGAGGGACAAUUGAGAUACACUUUACAAUAAAUCACUAGCAAUAUUCCAUAAUAAGCACAUUUAUCACAUAAUUUCACUUAAGUAAACAUAAACAGUUAAACACACAAAUUCGGAAACACUCACCAAAUUCCAAACAAAUUACUCUCAAGCAUCGGGUUUGCUUUCUGGCUCACAGCUACCCCCCUGAGAUAAAUUUAUAACUCUAAAAUGUAGAUACAAUUCGUCGAUAACCAUUUGUCAUUUGUUACCUUAUAAUUUAAACUUAUUAAAGUCAAGUUUUGGCUUUAAAAUACAAGAUAUAAUAUAUCCAACCUUUUCUUAAAUUUUAUCUCGAAACUUAUCAACUUUAUCAUUUUAAACAAAGAAAUAUACAUAUUCUAAGUUUAUAGUCUUAUAAGACGUUUAGCCUAAGAUUAAACCAUUUUCUAUCCAAUAUUCUAAGAUUAAGGCAAAUAGACUUUUCAUUCCUUCCUUUUUAAGUUAAAUCAAAGGCUAGUUUACCUGUAGUUUAAAUCUCAUUAAAUUUAUUAGUUUUCAAGAUUUGAGUUCCUUAAAAUACUCAUAAAAAUAGUUCCAAGUUGCUAUAAGAUACUCCACAAAACUUCACAACCAAUUAACCUAAAUUUUCCAAAAUUUCAUGAGAGUUUCAUUUCUUCCCUCAUUCGGUCAGCAAGGACAGGACUUCAGCUCAAAUGUUUCUAAAUCUUUAACAACCUUCACCUUUUAAUUGCUUAAAUUUUAAUUACUUAGUAUACAUUCCAUCCAAGGUGAAAAGCUCAUAAUUUCAGUCUAUUGAUCGACCAUCAUUAUACACAAAAUCUGUCAUUUAUUAUCACAACAAUUAACUAAGUUUUCUAGCAAUAUAUCAGUCCAAUAUUUAGUGUGUUUCCUUAAAUCUUUCCUUUCUAUCUUAUGUCCCAAUUAGACAGGUUAAUUACAUUUAUUAGGCUACAAAGUCGCUUUGUACAGAACCUCCCUCAGUCAUGAUGUACUUCAGCAUACGAAUUCACAGCUUCCUCUCCAUUUGCUUUAGUGUAACCUUACUUAUGAUGCUAAACAUAGCUUCUAAACCACAGGGUAACCUCAGUUAUCACCUGUGGAAGUUCACCGAAUCUGUCAUCCUUACUUGCAUUAGCUGUUAGUUUUCUAACAAUGUAGCAGCUUAAAUUUGUAGCCUUUACUCCCUAAUUUCUUCAAUUUAACUCAACUUAUGGUGCUAAACACGUUUGCUAAUCACCGAGCAGUUUUAGCUGUCAUCUGUGCAAGUUUGUGGUGUUAGAAAUUGGAGGAAAUGUUGUUCCAGAAUUUAUUUCCCCCCCUCUCAACCUCACAGCAGGUUGCAUCAGCUCCCUUUUACCAAGUUUAGCUAGACUUCCUGAGGUUUUCUGACUUCCUAAGGCUCCUAUCUGUUCGGUCAAAGGUUUAACAAAUUUUCCAUGUAUUCAUUAAUAAGAGUUCCAGAAUCAGCAACAACAAUUGCACAGCCUGCUUCAUUCCCUCGGCCAACCAACCUGCAAUCACCUGCACUCAUUCCUCCUUUAACGUUAAGUUUAGUUUCUACUUGUUUCUGUCUUUCUUGUUGAAGUUUAUGGACUUUAUGAUAUGUUACAGCUUACUACACAGGUUUAAGAGCUAAGGAGAUAUCUAGAACUUCCUACCUGUUCUGCUCAGUCGAAGCCAACAGGUUUCAACAGGUAGUGAGUUUGUAGCAAUUUUUUCUCCUUUCAUUCCUCCUCAGUUUCAUAUUCUAAUCAAAUGUACAGAGUAUAUUGAUUCCACCACAAAUUAUCCUAGCAAAACAUGGCAGAUUAUGGCCGGAAUUUAAAAGGAAACUGGAUGAAAUCUCAGGGCUACGCAAGGCUGUAAAACCUGAUGCAUAGCAGCCUGCAUCAGAUUUCCUUCAUGCUCAAAGUUCCAAUUUUCACAAGUUCCUAUAGCUAAAUUUCACCUUAUACCAGAAACAAACAUGUUCAUGUAUUUUCUACUCUACUCUUCCAUAUUUCCAUUGAUAACAGCCUGCAAUCUCAGUCAAUUAUCUCUCGGUUCCAACAGGUUCAUUUAAAUAAUCAGUUGAUUCUCAAACCAGAAUUUCCUCAGUCGAAGCUCACUUUUCUCUGCUAAAACUCAACUUACAGCUUGUAUAUUCAUUCUAUUGACCGCAUAAGCAAGAUAUUAUUGCAGGUUCUUAAAAUUAUUAUCUCAGAAAUAUUAAGAACGGUUGCAAGUUCCAGUUUAAGCUCAGUUUCUGCAAUUUCACAGUUUCUGCACAACACUUUCUUGAACCAGAAGCUAAAUUUCUAACUAAACUCAACUUAUAGCUCAUGUUUAACCAAUUAUUCUAUCUAAACAGUGAGUUGUUAUGGAGAGUGUUACCUUUUUCCCCUUAAGUUUCGUUGGUGCAGGUUGCUUAAGUCUCUGUCUCGGUUCCUCAGUCCUAAUUCCAGCUUCUCCUGUCUUCCUUACUGUAUCUUCCUUAUCUUUGGUUGUAUGGUGAUAAAACUAGCUAUGCUCUUGCUCUCACUUCCUCACUCUCUCUGUUUUUCUCUCAAUGUUAGCUUGAUAAGAAGAGGGACUGCAGUUUCGUUUUGCUCUCAGCCACCGCCCAGGUAUUCUUAACAAAUGUUGGUAGUAAAUUUCUCCCUGACAGCUGUCUUAAUAGGUGUUAUUCACUGCCCCAC
rnacentral:lncRNA from 1 species